rnacentral:rRNA from 1 species
CCUACGGGAGGCUGCAGUGAGGAAUAUUGGUCAAUGGCCGCAGGGCUGAACCAGCCAAGUCGCGUGAGGGAUGACGGUCCUAUGGAUUGUAAACCUCUUUUGUCAGGGAGCAAAGGGCGCCACGUGUGGCGUUUUGCGAGUCCCUGUAGAAAACGCAUCGGCUAACUCUGUGCCAGCAGCCGCGGUAAUACGGAGGAUGAGAGGGUUAUCCGGAUUUAUUGGGUUUAAGGGGUGCGCAGGCGGAAUGUCAAGUCAGCGGUAAAAUGUCGGGGCUCAACCCCGUCGUGCCGUUGAAACUGGCGGUCUUGAGUGAGCGAGAAGUAUGCGGAAUGCGUGGUGUAGCGGUGAAAUGCAUAGAUAUCACGCAGAACUCCGAUUGCGAAGGCAGCAUACCGGCGCUCAACUGACGCUCAUGCACGAAAGCGUGGGUAUCGAACAGGAUUAGAUACCCCAGUAGUC